GUGCUCCCUUCAGCAGCACAUAUACUAAAAUUGGAAUGAUACAGAGAAAAUUAACAUGGCCCCUGUGCAAAAAUGACAUGCAAAUUUGUGAAGUAUUCCACAUUUUC
ensembl:snRNA U6 U6 spliceosomal RNA